AUUGAACGCUGGCGGCAGGCUUAACACAUGCAAGUCGAGCGAGCGGCGGACGGGUGAGUAAUGUCUGGGAAACUGCCUGAUGGAGGGGGAUAACUACUGGAAACGGUAGAUAAUACUGCCAACCAUCAAAUGUGCCCAGAGGGGAUUAGCUAGUAGGUGGGGUAAUGGCUCACCUAGGCGACGAGCCCUAGCUGGUCUGUGAGGAGGACCAGCCCCACUGGAACCUAGACACGGUCCAGACUCCUACGGGAGGCAGCAGUUGGGAUUAUUGCACAAUGGGCGCAAGCCUGAUACAGCCAUGCCGCGUGUGUGAAGAAGGCCUUCGGGUUGUAAAGCACUUUCAGCGAGGAGGCGUUACUCGCAGAAGAAGCACCGGCUAACUCCGUGCCAGCAGCCGCGGUAAUUC
rnacentral:rRNA from 1 species